rfam:Gallus gallus isolate RJF #256 breed Red Jungle fowl, inbred line TCD001 chromosome 1, whole genome shotgun sequence.
CAAACGGCUCUUUUCAGAGCCCCCAACUUUUCUUACAAAGGGCUGU